GCGAGUCUGAGAUCCGAAAAGAACGAGUCCCAUGCGAUGAUAUGCGUCAGCACGUACGGCGACAGUAUAAAUUCCCAAAUGGAAGCAGAGGACACGAAAUACGUAAUAGACGAGUUGAAGAAAUCUCAGGAAUCAUUGCAAAAUUAUAACAAAUACAAAAGGAAACAAAUCCUAAGGGAUCAAAGUUCAUCCGAGCAAUGAAAACCAGUGUUAAACCAUUAGUAGGCUGUUCUCAAUGUGAACACGUCGAAAUUCACCGAUCUAGGGAGAAAUAUGCGAUGUGGCCUGCUAGGAUCGAUAAGAAUUAAACGCAAUGCGGAACGCGGAGAGUGGAUUUGUGGACGCUUCCGGUUGAUAUCUAUUGCGGGGAGAUGUGUUCCCAUUUUAACCCAUUUUUUCCGCUGAGUACUAUUUAUACGGGACGGCGGAAUGUAAAUAUUCAUACAGAAUGCACGUAUUUCUCGUGCAUCGCGCUUAGUCACGGCGAAUAAAAAUAAAUGCUCGUUACGUCGGGGGUGUUUUAGUCGCGAGAUUCAUCUGGCCUGUUCCACGCCAAGGGCUAAACCGCGCGCUAAUCACGCUCGGUAGAGGACAAUUCGGCCGCGUUCGCGGAUUGAUUUUCUCAUCCCUCCGUUCCUAUCGUUGUUCAUCCUUCACCAUUCUCUCUCUCUCCCUCUCAUUGCCUACUCUUUGUUUUUUAUUUUGAACGGAUAAUUUUUCACGGAACAACAAAUCGGUAGGCGUGCAUCGGCGAACAAUACCAGCGACUCGUUUGUGUUAAUUUGAGUCAAUUAUACUUGUACACA
rnacentral:misc_RNA from 1 species